UACGUAGGGGGCAAGCGUUGUUCGGAAUUACUGGGCGUAAAGGGCGCGUAGGCGGCACAGCAAGUCGGGAGUGAAAGCCCGGGGCUCAACCCCGGAACGGCUUUCGAAACUGCUGAGCUAGAGUGCGGAAGGGGCAACCGGAAUUCCCAGUGUAGCGGUGAAAUGCGUAGAUAUUGGGAAGAACACCUGAGGCGAAGGCGGGUUGCUGGGCCGACACUGACGCUGAGGCGCGAAAGCCAGGGGAGCAAACGGG
rnacentral:rRNA from 1 species